rnacentral:rRNA from 1 species
GGAUAAUCUACCCUUAGGACCGGGAUAACCCUGGGAAACUGGGGCUAAUACUGGAUAGGCAAUUUUUCCUGCAAUGGUUUUUUGUUUAAAUGUUUUUUCGCCUAAGGAUGAGUCUGCGGCCGAUUAGGUAGUUGGUUAGGUAAUGGCUUACCAAGCCGUUGAUCGGUACGGGUUGUGAGAGCAAGAGCCCGGAGAUGGAACCUGAGACAAGGUUCCAGGCCCUACGGGGUGCAGCAGGCGCGAAACCUCCGCAAUGUGAGAAAUCGCGACGGGGGGAUCCCAAGUGCCAUUCUUAACGGGAUGGCUUUUCAUUAGUGUAAAGAGCUUUUGGAAUAAGAGCUGGGCAAGACCGGUGCCAGCCGCCGCGGUAACACCGGCAGCUCUAGUGGUAACAAUUUUUAUUGGGCCUAAAGCGUCCGUAGCCGGUUUAAUAAGUCUCUGGUGAAAUCCUGUAGCUUAACUGUGGGAAUUGCUGGAGAUACUAUUAGACUUGAGACCGGGAGAGGUUAGAGGUACUCCCAGGGUAGAGGUGAAAUUCUGUAAUCCUGGGAGGACCGCCUGUUGCGAAGGCGUCUAACUGGAACGGUUCUGACGGUGAGGGACGAAAGUUAGGGGCGCGAACCGGAUUAGAUACCCGGGUAGUCCUAACUGUAAACGAUGCGGACUUGGUGUUGGGGGUGGCUUUGAGCUGCUCCAGUGCCGAAGGGAAGCUGUUAAGUCCGCCGCCUGGGAAGUACGGUCGCAAGACUGAAACUU